rnacentral:lncRNA from 1 species
UUAGCCAGAUCUUCAUCUAUACUUGGAGAGAAGACCAUUCAAGAAAAUCUUUCAUUCUAGUAUGGACAAAUAGUUCAUUAGGAAUGAGUUUUGGUCUAAUCCCCUUGCGAAGAUGAUCAGUGAUCAUUCCAUACAAGAAUGGAUGAAGAGGUCUUCCCCUUCUAAGCCAAAGCUCAAAAGGAAGAAGGCUCUAAUUCCACAUAGCCCAAACCUUCUUAUUAUGAACAUAAUGGGUGUGAUUGAGUCUACUAAGAGUAUGAAAUCUGGCACGACACCUUCUAUGUAACACCCUUGCUAAAUAUUUAUAUAUACAAAAAUCGUUUUUCUCCUCUCUCUCUCUCUUUUCCCUCCCCUUCCCCUCUCCUUCUCCUCUUUUUCCUUCUCCCUCCGGCAGCCACCGUUGCCUCACGUUUCCGUCGUCUGCAAGCCGCCGCUAUCGCCAGCGUCUUUCCUCUCUGCUACCGCCGACGUUGGCCGAAGGUAGGGAGGUGACUUCGCCGUUCGGCCUCUUGCCGACUUGUUUUCGGCGAUCAGACGCCGGGAUCGGACUCCCCACCACCGAAACCUCGGAAGCCACCCUCCUCCGUCGGAAAAUCCUUGCCGGCAGCCUUGGGAAGUGUCGCGUGAGCAGCGACUUUCCGGCCCCGAUCCGCCGCCUUCCGGCCACUUUCCGGCCAAAACUCUUGUACUUCCGGACUCCCCGCAACUUGAGCUUCGCGUAGGCGCUUCCGGAUUUGAAUUCCGACACUGUUGGCAGGAUCGGCUUCCGGACCCCAGUGUUUUCUAGACGCGCGGAAUAUUUUAAUUGUUAACUCGGUAUAAUUUUAUUAGACUCUGAAAAAUUUUGUUAUAAUAUUAGAAAGUUAUUGAGGCUAUUAAUUGCUUGUGUUGGGUAGUUUAAAAAUAAAUCAAAUUAAAUUGUUUGGGUUGUGGUGUUUUGGAGUCGGGAAAAUAUUAGUGCAGUUCUUGUGGCCCGGCUCCUGUUAUUAAAUUCCAGCAUGUCUGAUAUGUUUUUGGCAGGUCCUGGACCCGUUUUACGGGGGGUAAAUAUCCGUAAUUUAGGGGAGGUUCUGUCAAAUUUUCGGCAGAAUCCUCGAGUCCAAUUAAAGUCUAGGCAGUCGACCUUAGGGUCUAAGUUUAGGAAGAAUUUUCGAAUGUCUAUUAAUUGUAUGUCUUUUGUUAUUAGAUAAUUCAGCCUUCCCGCCAGCUCCACCCGAGGCGUAGGAGCGGACUGUGGAACGCAUCAAAUCUGUGAGUUAAAGUCAUUUAAUCUUUGCGCUAUUGCUAGUCUGAUUUUAAUAUGCUAUUUAGAAUUUGUGCUUAAUAUGAUUAUUAGUAUGUUAUAAUAAGACAAACGUUAUUUUUUUCUCCCUCACAAAUUGCACGUUAUUUUAUCUUAAAUCUUUAAUCUUUAUUUCGAUAUGUGUUGGAUGAGUUCAGCAGAUAAUGAUAUUUAUUAUAUGUGAUGAUUGCGAAUUGGGAAAUGUGGCUUGUAGAACAUGCCGCCUGAUGGGUUACAUCAGGACCGCGUGCGUACCGGUAAUGAUCAUGGACAUGUAAUAAGAUAUUUAUGGGUUUGCCCUGGUCGAGCAUGGCUCUCUGGGCUGAUUUGUGUAAAUUGCCGGAGGUAAGGUCCCUGGUCGAGCAUUGCUCUCGGGGCGCCGGCUUAUUUGGAUAUUUAAGUGACCAGACUGGAGGUAAGGUCCCUGGUCGAGCAUUGCUCUCGGGGCGCCAGUCUUAUUGGAUUAAGAGAGCCGAAUGGCUACUAGAUUUUUUAUUUGGAUAUUUAAGUGACCAGACUAGAGGUAAGGUCCCUGGUCGAGCAUUGCUCUCGGGGCGCCAGUCUUAUUGGAUUAAGAGAGCCAAAGUGGCUGUUAGAAUUUGGGGUUAGGGUUCUACUUAGCCACACGUCCCGUGAAAGUAAAAAUGUCUUUAUUUAUUUACACUCUCUCCUUUUAUCAUUUUAUUAUUAUGGUGUAUGAUUUUAUAUUAUGAUUGCAAUUAUAUUCAGAAAUUGGUAUAUUGUUUUGAAUAAUUAAUAUAUCAUGUGAAGGUUGCAAUAGUCCUUAGAUUAUUUGAUUUUGACUCACUCUCGAGACUGACAGUCUCAGUUGUAAUUUUUUUCAGGUGACAGUUAAAGACUUUCGCCUUCGCACAUUCGACAGUCCGACUUCUUCUUCUUCGGACUUUUGUAAUUAUUUUGUACUUAUAUACUUAUCAUUUUUACUCUAGAGUAUCCGCAGUAGGAAAUUUUAAAAUUUAUAUAACUAUUCUGACUCUUGUUGGUAGUAUGAUGAUGUAUUAUGC